rnacentral:rRNA from 1 species
UACGUAGGGGGCUAGCGUUGUCCGGAUUUAUUGGGCGUAAAGAGCGUGUAGGCGGCCAGGUAGGUCUGCUGUGAAAACUCGAGGCUCAACCUCGAGACGUCGGCGGAAACCAUCUGGCUAGAGUCCGGAAGAGGAGAGUGGAAUUCCUAGUGUAGUGGUGAAAUACGUAGAUAUUGGGAGGAACAUCGGCGGCGAAAGCGGCUCUCUGGCUUCAUUCUGACACUCAUUCGCGAAAGCGUGGGGAUCAAACAGG